rnacentral:lncRNA from 1 species
AUCAAUUUCAAAUAAGUAAAUAAAUGUGCUUUCUCUCUUAUAAAAUUUCUGAAUAUGUUUAUUGUAUUAUAAAAUCAUUGUUAACAAUAGUUUCAACAGAAUAUCUUUCUAAUAAUUACUGAAAUUCAGAAAUUAUUGCAAGGUUUUUAUUAAUGCAACUGGGAGAGUCUCUCAAUAAUCAUGAUAAUAAGAACUCACAUUCAGGUACCAAACACACAUAUUAGCAGUAUGAAGAUUUCCUAAAAUCGCAAUAACUGAACCAGCAUUAUUGUUCAAUCUUCAAAAAUCACAAUAGUUUCUGAAUUUUCAAAAGAACAAUACUAAUCAGUCUUUUAUUAAUUGACACAUUAUACUAAAUAUAAUAACACUCAAAUUUCUUAAAAACUUUUUUAAGGUUGAUCAGUUGGUGCAUCUAAAAGCACACGUCUACAAUUCACAUUUACAUCUGACAGGAGAAUGCACACAAAGUAUUGAUUUAUUUAUUUGUCACAUUUACAUCUGACAGGAGAAUGCACACAAAGUAUUGAUUUAUUUAUUUGUCACAUUUUCAAACAGAAUUCAUUUGUUCAGACAUGUCUUUUUAGUAAUAUUACUAAAAGUAAAGGAGGUUCAAAACAUUUAAAAAAAAAAAUCUCUUUUCUUAGUGAAACAUAUGUUUUAAUAGAUCAAUGCCUAC